rnacentral:rRNA from 1 species
AUUGAACGCUGGCGGCAGGCCUAACACAUGCAAGUCGAGCGGAUGAAGGGAGCUUGCUCCUGGAUUCAGCGGCGGACGGGUGAGUAAUGCCUAGGAAUCUGCCUGGUAGUGGGGGAUAACGUCCGGAAACGGGCGCUAAUACCGCAUACGUCCUGAGGGAGAAAGUGGGGGAUCUUCGGACCUCACGCUAUCAGAUGAGCCUAGGUCGGAUUAGCUAGUUGGUGGGGUGAAGGCCUACCAAGGCGACGAUCCGUAACUGGUCUGAGAGGAUGAUCAGUCACACUGGAACUGAGACACGGUCCAGACUCCUACGGGAGGCAGCAGUGGGGAAUAUUGGACAAUGGGCGAAAGCCUGAUCCAGCCAUGCCGCGUGUGUGAAGAAGGUCUUCGGAGUGUAAAGCACUUUAAGUUGGGAGGAAGGGCAGUAAGUUAAUACCUUGCUGUUUUGACGUUACCAACAGAAUAAGCACCGGCUAACUUCGUG